rnacentral:miRNA from 1 species
CCUACUUGCGUGCAAGCAGGAGGGGGUGGGGAUCCCUCAGCUGGGAAGGGAGGCUUCCCGUUGCCUAACUGAGAGAUCCCUGCCCCCUCCUGCUUGCACGCAAGUAGG